rnacentral:tRNA from 1 species
GCGCAGUUAGUGUAGUGGUUCAGCACUCUCGUUUCCCAAUAUCCAGUCGGACAUACCUGGAAGUCAAGUAACGAGCGACCCGGGUUCGAACCCCGGACUGCGCA